CCGGCCUACAGGUUCAAUCGUUAGCUUCACUAGUGACACCUGGACCUGUGAGGCUGCUGCGAAAAAAGCUCAACUUGAGUCAAGUGUACCGAAGGGGAAAAAACUGGUGGGAAGAGGGGGCCAGUUUCACGACUGCGCCACUUUGAAUGGACUUCUGUGGGGAAACGAGUGAACCGCGGAGCCCAACGAGCAGUGAGAAGCUGCCACGUGGUUCGAGGGGGCGACGGGACGUCAGCGCCGAGGCCUAUCACCUGUAAUCAAUUGAAGUGAACACAUCAGUGAUGCCAAGCUUGAAGUGGGACCCCUGCAGAAAGCUGCUCCUUUAGCAUCAGGCCCCAGGGCUGAACCGCUGCACUCUGGCUACUUUGCUUCUUUCAUCAUCCCGGUUGUUUUGCAACAUACUGUUGGCUCGCUUUUUUUCUUUUCUUUUUACUACGCAGGUCAGUUGGGAACGAUGAGGAAGCACGAAUUCAUAAAGAACAAGAAACGUGUGAAGGUAAAACAUGCCACCUUUCACGUGGAGCUACAAAAAGUGCUGAUGUCGGACGUCGUGAUUUGAAGCAACGAAUUCCCUCCGUGCUUGCUGUACGGACUCUGAGAGCUGAGUCUAUUGUGCUACCAGUGCCGUCGCACUGAAUUCACAAAGUGGUCGUCAGCGGAGAUUUGUUUAACGUGUUGCAAUAUAUUGUAAUAAAUCGCUAAAGAAAAGCUGCCACGUAGCAACAAAAACACUUCUAGAAAUGUAGUUUAAGAAUACUACCAAGUGACCUGCUGCAAAAUUAAAUAAAUACUAUUUUUCUGUGUAUGUGUCAACAGAAAACGUUUUUAUUUAUGCGGCUAAAACAG
ensembl:lncRNA